GCCUGGAUAGCUCAGACGGUAGAGCGCAUUCUUGGUAAGAAUGAGGUCUUGGGUUCGAUUCCCAAUCCAGGCU
rnacentral:tRNA from 4 species